AGAGAUGAGGAGCCCAAGAGAUGAAACUGGAGAGCUCCUAAAACCCAGGAGGCUCUUAAAACUCCUCUACCAACAUCUCCCCUCCAUGAAAAAAGGAAGGGUCAGCCCAAGAAGCAGGAAGCAGCAGUGCAGGGAGAAAAGAGUACUGGAUUUAGAGUCAGACACCCAGGUUCAAGUUCUAGUUUGCAGUUCAUAGAAGCAGUCUUCCCAGCUUGAUUUUAUUCACAGAAGAAAAAAGGCACCCCUGGGAAGUGCCUGACAAAAGCUUGAAGAGAGAAGAGGCUCUGCUGUGGUUUGAAUGCGUCCCCCAAAGUUCAUGUGUUGGAAACUUGAUCCCCGAUGCAGCAGUACUGGGAGGUGGGACCUUUGAGAGGUGUUUAAGUCAUGAGGACCCUGCCCUCAUGAAUGGAUUAAUGCUGUUAUUGCAGGAGUGGGUUUGUUAUCUCGGGAAUGGAUUUGUUAUAAAAAGAAAAGUUCAGCCCCCUUUUAUCUCUCACCCAUAGGAUGCCCUUUGCCAUGUUAUGAUCCUGCAGGAAGACCCUCACCAGAUAUGGCCCCUUGAUCUUGGACUUCCCAGCCUCCAGAAUUGUGAGAAAUAAAUUUCUGUUUUUAAUAAA
ensembl:lncRNA LINC01877 long intergenic non-protein coding RNA 1877